GCAAUAGCUACUUGCAUCAUUGUAAAUAUGAUGCAAGAUCGACUAUGUCGAAUAAAAUUCUAGGUAGAAUUAUGAUAAUGACAUUGUCUGCCUAUGUGUCUUGACCAAAUUACGUGCCAGCUGUCGCGGUAAUACGUAGAAGACUAGUGUUAUUCAUGUUUAAUCGGUUUAAAGGGUACCUAGACGGUAAAUCAAGCCUAAAAAGAAGGAAAUAAAGGGACUAAUUUACUAGAGUUACUUAUGAGGGGGUAUUAAAGUACUGCUGGUGUAGAGAUGAAAUUCUGUCAUACCUCUUUUCAAUAGAAAAAUAAUGGCACAGGUAUAGGCGAAGGCAUCCCCUUAUGUGAUAACUGACGUUGAGGGACGAAGGCUUUGUGUAGCGAACAGGAUUAGAUACCCCAGUAGUCAAAGCAGAAAAUGAUGAAUGUCAUAGAUUAGAUAUAUAAGUUUAUUCUAUAAAUGAAAGUGUAAGCAUUCCACCUCAAGAGUAAUUUGGCAACAUUGGAACUGAAAUCAUUAGACCGUUUCUGAAACCAGUAGUGAAGUAUGUUGUUUAAUUUGAUAAUCCGCAAAAAACCUUACCACAAUUUGAAUAUUUAUAUUUUUUUUUAUUGUUUUUCUUUUUAAUUAUCUUCCGAUUUUCUAGUUAAAGGAAAACUAGAAGAAAAAGAAAAAAAAGGCAAUAAG
rnacentral:rRNA from 1 species